GAAAUAUGGAAUUCAAGAUUAAGCUUCUAACUUAAAUCUUAAGCAGCGAAAUUCUGUUUAUAUUUCU
rnacentral:tRNA from 1 species